rnacentral:rRNA from 1 species
CCAGACUCCUACGGGAGGCAGCAGUGGGGAAUAUUGCACAAUGGGGGAAACCCUGAUGCAGCGACGCCGCGUGAGCGAUGAAGUAUUUCGGUAUGUAAAGCUCUAUCAGCAGGGAAGAAAAUGACGGUACCUGACUAAGAAGCCCCGGCUAACUACGUGCCAGCAGCCGCGGUAAUACGUAGGGGGCAAGCGUUAUCCGGAUUUACUGGGUGUAAAGGGAGCGUAGACGGCGGUGCAAGCCAGAUGUGAAAGCCCGGGGCUCAACCCCGGGACUGCAUUUGGAACUGUGCUGCUAGAGUGUCGGAGAGGCAGGCGGAAUUCCUAGUGUAGCGGUGAAAUGCGUAGAUAUCAGGAGGAACACCGGUGGCGAAGGCGGCCUGCUGGACUGCAACUGACGUUGAGGCCCGAAAGCGUGGGGAGCAAACAGGAUUAGAUACCCUAGUACAA